AAACUAGAAUACACCCGCGAAAUCGCGGGCAUCUAUACAUUUUAUAGGGCUUGUUAGAUUUUGUGUUUGGAGAAUUUCAGAAAAACAUUUCAUAUAGGGAGAAUUUCAGAAAAGGUAUCAAAAUUCAUAGGUACUUGGAGACAGUUUAAGCCCUCUCCCUUGUUUCCAAAGUCUGUUAUUUUUUUCCGUUAAAUUCCAUUAUUUUCGUGUUUCUGUAUACUAUGAACAUACGUAUACUAUUGGUAAAGUGUGUUUGCUAUUAACUAUCAAUUUCUUCUCCUAGACGAUCACUGCUAUAUUAUUCGGAGAGUCUCUAUCAACGCAAUAAUUAUUGUCCUGUCCCCGAGUACUCUAAAUCCUGGAGAUAAUAGUAGUGGUUCUAACGAUAUAAAAACCACGAUAUGGACAACGGUCUGAUUGGCUUAUUAAUUUUCAUUUUUGUUAUCUAUCAUACGAAUGGUUCUUAAUGCUAAAUCCGGAAG
rnacentral:lncRNA from 1 species